CCCUUAGAUGUUCUGGGCCGCACGCGUGCUACACUGAGUGGAUCAGCGGGUCAGGUUGCGCGAAAGCGUUUCCUAAUCUUUAAAUCCGCUAGUGAUGGGGAUUGACGGUUGCAAUUUUCUGUCAUGAACGAGGAAUACCUUGUAAGCGCGGGUCAUCAUCCCGCGCUGAAUACGUCCCUGCCCUUUGUACACACCGCCCGUCGCUCCUACCGAUUGAGUGGUCCGGUGAGGCUUUGGGAUCUGAGCGGAAAGAGCGUUUCGCUGUUUCUGCUCGGAAAACUCAGUCGAACCUUAUCAUUUAGAGGAAGGAGAAGUCGUAACA
rnacentral:rRNA from 1 species